GGCUGUAGCUCAAUGGUAGAGCACUUGCUUAGCAUGUGUGAGGCACUGGGUUCAAUUCUCAGCACCA
rnacentral:tRNA from 1 species